GGAGCAGCCGACUGUGCCCGGGAUCAUCAGGUACAGCGGGUGCACCCUCAGGCGGAUGGCCUGGCCAGGCAGUGGGGACAAGACACAGAUAGAGGGAUCACAGAGAGAGAGAGUCAGAGACAAUUGGAACAACAGGGACAUAAGGACAGAGAUUGGCAGAGUGGCAGAAAGCAAUAGACAUACGAGAGGAGAGAGGGAAAGAAACAGAUGCACAGCCAGAGAUCCAGACAGAAGCCACCAGCAGAGACCCGGGCAGAGAGACGGAGAGACAUUCCAAAGGUGAAAAAUGUCCCUGUUGCUUAAGAAAUGGCACUGCGGUUCUGACACUUUCAUGCACUUGAGAAGGCAGCAAUGAAAGGUGGCAACUACAGCCCCUGAGGAUGCGCCCACACGGAGGGGUCCCCACCCCCAGCAGGACCCUCACCAGCUCUGCGAGGACAGGCAGGAAGAUGAUGAUGGUGGCCGUGUUGCUGGCAAACUCCGUGAAGAAGGCGAUGACGACGGUGAUGAGCAGCACCGCCAGCACGGGGGGCACGUUCUCCA